rnacentral:SRP_RNA from 10 species
GCCAGGCGGUGGAGGCCCACCUGUAAGCUCAGCUACUCAGGAGGCUGAGGAGUAGGAUCGCUUAUGCCCAGGAGUUCUGGGCUAUAGUGUGCUAUGCCCAAGAGGUGUCUACACUAAGUUCAGCAUCAAUAUGGUGACCUCCCAGGAGCAGGGGACCACCAGGUUACCUAAGGAGGAGUGAACCAACCUAGGUCAGAAACAGAGCAGGUCAAAACUCCCAUGCUGAUCAGUAGUGGGAUCACACCUGUGAAUGACCAGUGCUAAAGUGCUCUCCAGUCUGGGCAACAUAGUGAGACAACUCCC